UAGGGAAUAUUAGAAAUGGACGAAAGUCUGAUCUAGCAACACCGCGUGUGCGAAGAAGGCCUUCGGGUUGUAAAGCACUUUUUGGAAGGAUUAGGAAGGAAUGUACUUCCAGAAUAAGUCUCGGCUAACUACGUGCCAGCAGCCGCGGUAACACGUAGGAGGCAAACGUUAUCCGGACUUACUGGGCGUAAAGCGCGUGUAGGUGGUUCUGUAAGUAGGGCGUGAAAGCUCCUGGCUCAACUGGGAGAGGCCGUUCUAAACUGCAGAGCUAGAGGAUGGUAGAGGGAGGUGGAAUUCCGGGUGUAGCGGUGGAAUGCGCAGAUAUCCGGAGGAACACCAGUGGCGAAAGCGGCCUCCUGGACCAUUCCUGACACUCAGGCGCGAAAGCUAGGGUAGCGAACGG
rnacentral:rRNA from 1 species